CAUUUGAAUAAUUCAGUGUGAAAGUGUAUAUAAUCAGCUUCCUGUCUCCACGUCUUCAUUCCGACAUCUCCAGAGGUAAAGCAGAUCGCUGAAACCCUGAAAACUUCUACACCAUGAAGCUGUUUGUCAGUAUGCUGCUUGUGACGAUGGUUGUCACCGCAAUGCUGGUUGAUGACACCGAAGCUAGGACGCGGAGGCGGCGGAGCCGGCGGAGACGGUUACAAGUCGACGUGAGCGAGGUCGUGGAAGAGGCGAGGGAGCUCCUGGACGAUCUGGCUGAUCUGCAGGAGAACGCGAAGGCUGAGCAGAUGAUGGAGCUGCAGGAUCUUGGUCAGGAGGAGGACGAUUAUGCCCGCAGGAGACGCUAACUCCUACCGCCAACAGCCUACCGGACAACCUGAAGUCCGGAGGUUUCAGUGGCACCAAAAGGCCAGGAUUACACGUUAGGUUGAUGAAUAACAAUCGUGAAAGCGCAGUUUUGUAAUGAUCCUAAUUAUGAACAUUGUGUUGUAUUUCCUGCGUUCAUAUUGAGUGUUCGCUCAAUACUGUGUGCUCGCUGGUUAUUCAAUAAAACCUAAUGGAAAAAAAACA